rnacentral:rRNA from 1 species
GAUGAACGCUGGCGGCGUGCCUAAUACAUGCAAGUCGAGCGAAGCGGGGACGGGUGAGUAACGCGUGGAUAACCUCCUAUAGGAAUGGGAUAACUUCGGGGAACCGGAGCUAAACCGGGAUCUUAGAGAUGUGUCCGCGCUGCAUUAGCUAGUUGGUAAGGUAACGGCUUACCAAGGCAACGAUGCAUAGCCGACCUGAGAGGGUGAGCGGCCACACUGGAACUGAGACACGGUCCAGACUCCUACGGGAGGCAGCAGUAGGGAAUCUUCCGCAAUGGGCGAAAGCCUGACGGAGCAACGCCGCGUGAGUGAUGAAGGUCUUCGGAUCGUAAAACUCUGUUAUUAGGGAAGCGGUACUUAACCAGAAAGCCACGGCUAACUACGUGCCAGCCGCCGCGGUAAUAC